rnacentral:rRNA from 1 species
GGUGAACGCUGGCGGCGUGCCUAAUACAUGCAAGUCGAGCGAACAGACGAGAGUGCUUGCACUCUCUGACGUUAGCGGCGGACGGGUGAGUAACACGUGGGUAACCUACCUAUAAGACUGGGAUAACUUCGGGAAACCGGAGCUAAUACCGGAUAAUAUUUAGCUUCGCAUGAAGCAAUAGUGAAAGACGGUUCUGCUGUCACUUAUAGAUGGACCCGCGGUGUAUUAGCUGGUUGGUGAGGUAACGGCUCACCAAGGCAACGAUACAUAGCCGACCUGAGAGGGUGAUCGGCCACACUGGGACUGAGACACGGCCCAGACUCCUACGGGAGGCAGCAGUAGGAAAUCUUCCGCAAUGGACGAAAGUCUGACGGAGCAAUGCCGCGUGAGUGAAGAAGGUUUUCGGAUCGUAAAACUCUGUUGUAAGGGAAGAACAAGUACGUUAGUAACUGAACGUACCUUGACGGUACCUUACCAGAAAGCCACGGCUAACUACGUG